rnacentral:rRNA from 1 species
CCUACGGGAGGCUGCAGUGGGGAAUAUUGCACAAUGGGGGAAACCCUGAUGCAGCAACGCCGCGUGGGUGAAGGAGCGUUUCGGCGCGUAAAGCCCUGUCAGUGGGGAAGAAGAAAGACGGUACCUUAGGAAUAAGCCUCGGCUAACUACGUGCCAGCAGCCGCGGUAAUACGUAGGAGGCGAGCGUUAUCCGGAUUUACUGGGUGUAAAGGGAGCGUAGACGGCAGCGCAAGUCUGGAGUGAAAUCCCAUGGCUUAACCAUGGAACUGCUUUGGAAACUGUGCAGCUGGAGUGCAGGAGAGGUAAGCGGAAUUCCUAGUGUAGCGGUGAAAUGCGUAGAUAUUAGGAGGAACACCAGUGGCGAAGGCGGCUUACUGGACUGUAACUGACGUUGAGGCUCGAAAGCGUGGGGAGCAAACAGGAUUAGAUACCCUUGUAGUC